rnacentral:rRNA from 1 species
UACGUAGGGGGCUAGCGUUGUCCGGAAUCAUUGGGCGUAAAGCGCGUGUAGGCGGUCCGGUAAGUCUGCUGUGAAAGUCGGGGGCUCAACCCUCGGAAGCCGGUGGAUACUGCUGGGCUAGAGUGCGGAAGAGGCGAGUGGAAUUCCUGGUGUAGCGGUGAAAUGCGCAGAUAUCAGGAGGAACACCAAUUGCGAAGGCAGCUCGCUGGGACGUGACUGACGCUGAGACGCGAAAGCGUGGGGAGCGAACAGG